CAGAGAGGAAGGAGGAAAGCAUGGUGAGACGUGGGUGGAAAUGGGGAGAAGGGGCUUGAGACAGUUCCUGUGCCGCAUCGCCCUCAGAGCUGAGCUGACGCAGCCUCAUGCUGGCGGCAGCUUCCAGAAAGCCAUUUGGAAUCCUGAGAAGGGAGCAGCCCCAUCUGGGACCUCCAAGCAAUCCCCCAUCCUGCUCAGGUUACAACCCUCCAGUGUGAGAGGCAGGCGGUGGGACCACACCUUGGAUUCCUAGAGCUGGCUAGGAGUACAUGAAGACCAGACUUGGCCCCUUGCUGACUUCCUUUCCCGCAGUGAGUUCCCUCCACCCACCCACCCCAGUGCUCUCCUCAGCACUGACCGCGCUCACC
rnacentral:lncRNA from 1 species